CCGUCGGUAGCUCAGUUGGCAGAGCGGUGGACUGUAGAUUCGUUUCAAUUCGUGAUAAACAAGUUAUCCAUAGGUCGCUGGUUCAAUUCCGGCCCGACGGA
rnacentral:tRNA from 1 species